AUUGGUGCUCGUUUCUCGGA
rnacentral:snRNA from 1 species